UCUAAUCUAAUGAUGAGCACUGGAAAGGAGAGUAACACUGAAUAAAAAGGAGAGAAGGCUUAUUCUAGUCUGUUGCCCUAAAGUCUGACCCAGAACAAGAGAAACUAAGGAUGGGGCGUGGCUCUUUUGAAGGUUAAAAGCUUGUCUCAUUUGUGUACUCAGACACCCUGAGGCACUUCCACACUAAACUAACCAAUCACAGAACACAAGACACACCUGCUCUUAGAAGAAGGCCAGGGAUUGGUCCCAGCAUAAAAAUGACACCUGGGCAGGGCUCCAAGGUGUACCUGAAAACCUAGAUGUUUUGUAGGAACAGUUUCUUCGCUUCAGGAGCUUUUGGAGAUUGUGUUUCUUCUCGUACUUGAGACUCCAUUAGUAUUGUCUAUGCAUCUUCAUCAGGUACCUUCAGACCGGUUCGAGAGGUCUGGCCUAACGUGGAAGGAGCAAUCAUACCUUUAACAAGUGGAAGGACCAGGAAGUGAUCUUCCUCAGCUAAAGCGACGCUGCGACACAAUGGCAUCUCUUGUCCAUGACUCCAUACUGAAUGACGGCAACAGGAAUUCAUAGGGUCAUUAUGCAUCCUACGAUGGAAUGUGCAAAGAAAAGUCAAAAUCUUUAUGUGAUUUAAACAAGUAAAUAAUAAAGAAGAGAUAUAAAUAAAACAUACUGAUGGGACAACUUAUAUGACAAAUUUAU